UACGAAGGGGGCUAGCGUUGCUCGGAAUCACUGGGCGUAAAGCGCACGUAGGCGGCUUUUUAAGUCAGGGGUGAAAUCCUGGAGCUCAACUCCAGAACUGCCUUUGAUACUGGCGAUCUUGAGUCCGGGAGAGGUGAGUGGAACUGCGAGUGUAGAGGUGAAAUUCGUAGAUAUUCGCAAGAACACCAGUGGCGAAGGCGGCUCACUGGCCCGAUACUGACGCUGAGGCACGAAAGCGUGGGGAGCAAACAGG
rnacentral:rRNA from 1 species